UGGCUCAGGAUGAACGCUAGCGACAGGCUAACACAUGCAAGUCGAGGGGCAGCACGGGAGUAGCAAUACAACUGGUGGCGACCGGCGCACGGGUGAGUAACGCGUAUGCAACCUACCUAUCAGAGGGGAAUAACCCGGCGAAAGUCGGACUAAUACCGCAUAAAACAGGGGCACCGCAUGGUGAUAUUUGUUAAAGAGAUUCGCUGAUAGAUGGGCAUGCGUUCCAUUAGGUAGUUGGUGAGGUAACGGCUCACCAAGCCGACGAUGGAUAGGGGAACUGAGAGGUUGGUCCCCCACACUGGUACUGAGACACGGACCAGACUCCUACGGGAGGCAGCAGUGAGGAAUAUUGGUCAAUGGGCGGGAGCCUGAACCAGCCAAGUCGCGUGAAGGAAGAAGGAUCUAUGGUUCGUAAACUUCUUUUGCAGGGGAAUAAAGUGCAGGACGUGUCCUGUUUUGUAUGUACCCUGAGAAUAAGGAUCGGCUAACUCCGUGCCAGCCGCGGC
rnacentral:rRNA from 1 species